rnacentral:tRNA from 1 species
GGGGAUGUAGCUCAUAUGUUAGAGCACUCGCUUUGCAUGCAAGAGGUACAGGGAUUGAUACCCCGCAUCUCUA